rnacentral:tRNA from 3 species
GCCUACUUGACUCAGCGGUUAGAGUAUCGCUUUCAUACGGCGAGAGACAUUGGUUCAAAUCCAAUGGUAGGAU